rnacentral:rRNA from 1 species
AUUGAACGCUAGCGGGAUGCUUUACACAUGCAAGUCGAACGGCAGCGCGGACUUCGGUCUGGCGGCGAGUGGCGAACGGGUGAGUAAUGUAUCGGAACGUGCCCAGUAGCGGGGGAUAACUACGCGAAAGCGUAGCUAAUACCGCAUACGCCCUACGGGGGAAAGCAGGGGAUCGUAAGACCUUUCACUAUUGGAUCGUCCGAUAUCGGAUUAGCUAGUUGGUGAGGUAACGGCUCACCAAGGCGACUAUCCGUAGCUGGUUUGAGAGGACGACCAGCCACACUGGGACUGAGACACGGCCCAGACUCCUACGGGAGGCAGCAGUGGGGAAUUUUGGACAAUGGGGGAAACCCUGAUCCAGCCAACCCGCGUGUGAGAUGAAGGCCUUCGGGUUGUAAAGCACUUUUGGCAGGAAAGAAACGUAGCGGGCUAAUACCCCGUGGAACUGACGGUACCUGCAGAAUAAGCACCGGCUAACUACGUG